ACAGCACCCCAUAUGUGACCCACAGCGCGACCCACAGCGUGACCCACAGUGUGACCCACAGCACCCAGUGUGACCCACAGCACCCACAGUGCGACCCAGGGAAGCCCCCAACCACCACAAUCCCUCCCAGGGGAGUCCCCAAAGCCCCAUAGAAACCCCCAAAGCCCCCCAACCCCCCAGCAGAGCCCCCAAACCCCCCAGCAGAGCCCCCAACCACCCACAGAAGCCCCCAGAC
rnacentral:lncRNA from 1 species